CGCUCGGCCGGGGAACAAAGAGCGGCGGCUGAGCGGCGGGGCGGCGCGCUGCGGCGGCGGCGGGACUGGUAUGGUGGUUCCACAGGGCAGAGCGCGCUGCACUCACCGGGAGGAGGCGGCGGCCCCGGCGGAGGAGGGCGGCGCACCCGCAGAGGCAUGCCCAAAGAAAAAUACGAGCCCCCUGACCCUCGGAGGAUGUACACAAUUAUGUCCUCUGAGGAAGCAGCAAAUGGAAAGAAAUCACAUUGGGCAGAGCUUGAAAUAAGUGGAAAAGUAAGAAGCUUAAGCUCAUCUUUGUGGUCACUAACUCACUUGACAGCUUUGCAUCUGAGUGACAAUUCCCUGUCCCGCAUUCCUUCAGACAUUGCCAAACUUCACAAUCUGGUGUAUCUGGACCUGUCCUCUAACAAAAUCCGGAGUUUACCGGCGGAACUCGGAAACAUGGUAUCACUCAGGGAACUCCAUUUAAAUAACAACCUGUUACGAGUUCUACCCUUUGAGCUGGGAAAACUGUUUCAGUUGCAGACUUUAGGCCUGAAAGGAAAUCCACUUACCCAGGAUAUAUUGAACCUCUAUCUGGAACCAGAUGGAACAAGAAGGCUACUGAACUAUUUGCUUGAUAAUUUGGCAGGUACUGCAAAAAGAAUUUCAACAGAACAACCACCUCCAAGAUCUUGGAUUAUGUUACGAGAACCAGACAGAACAAGGCCAACUGCCUUGUUUUCUGUCAUGUGCUAUAAUGUUCUUUGUGAUAAAUAUGCCACCCGGCAGUUAUACGGCUAUUGUCCAUCAUGGGCACUAAAUUGGGAGUACAGGAAAAAGGCCAUUAUUCAAGAAAUCUUGAGCUGCAAUGCUGAUAUCAUAAGUCUUCAGGAGGUUGAAACAGAACAGUAUUACAGUUUUUUUCUGGUAGAACUGAAAGAACGUGGCUAUAAUGGAUUCUUUAGUCCUAAAUCUAGAGCUAGGACAAUGUCAGAACAAGAGAGAAAACAUGUUGAUGGCUGUGCAAUAUUCUUCAAGACAGAAAAAUUUACUUUGGUUCAGAAACACACUGUUGAAUUUAAUCAGCUAGCGAUGGCAAAUUCAGAAGGGUCUGAAGCUAUGCUGAACAGAGUCAUGACAAAAGAUAACAUUGGAGUUGCAGUACUGCUAGAACUUCGAAGGGAAUUGAUUGAAAUGUCAUCUGGAAAGCCACAUCUUGGACCAGAAAAACAACUUAUUCUCGUGGCUAAUGCUCAUAUGCAUUGGGACCCUGAAUACUCUGAUGUGAAGUUGGUUCAAACAAUGAUGUUCCUCUCAGAAGUGAAGAAUAUUAUUGAUAAAGCCUCACGAAGCCUCCAGUCCGGUGUAUUGGGAGAAUUUGGAACUAUUCCACUGGUGUUGUGUGCAGAUCUUAAUUCUUUGCCAGACUCUGGUGUUGUAGAAUAUUUGAGCACUGGUGGAGUAGAAACAAACCAUAAAGACUUUAAGGAACUGAGAUAUAAUGAAAGUCUCACAAACUUCAGCUGUAAUGGGAAAAACGGGACAACCAAUGGCAGGAUCACUCAUGGUUUCAAGUUAAAGAGUGCCUACGAGAGUGGCUUGAUGCCUUACACAAACUACACAUUUGACUUCAAGGGUAUAAUUGACUACAUCUUCUAUUCUAAACCUCAGCUGAACACUUUAGGCAUCCUGGGACCUCUGGACCACCAUUGGCUAGUUGAGAAUAAUAUCAGCGGCUGCCCACACCCACUCAUCCCCUCUGAUCACUUCUCACUUUUUGCACAACUGGAGCUCUUACUGCCUUUCCUGCCCCAAGUUAAUGGCAUUCACCUUCCUGGCAGGAGGUAGUCAAGUGUCUUCAGAGGACGACCUCAAUUUUAUUUGUAAAGUCAUAAAAAAUCUGAAUAUAGGAGAGUGAGGUAUGGCCACUAGGGUUUUUUUUUUUCCUUAAUGAUGAUUUGAGUUUUCAAUCUGAUUAUUUGAUAAGGAUAUAGUAUGAAAGCCAGGUGCUAGCAACAGACAAAUUCUGAGCCCAGUAUGCUUUAUAUACUGUUAGACAGGGAUUGGUGUCUUUGCACCUAUCUUUAAUUUGUUACAAGUAAUUUUCCCGUUUCUUCUAUUCAAUAUAAUAUUUUCAUGCCUUGACAUAGGAAAAUGUUUGAACAGCAUAUUCUCUUUGCACAGAAAUCCAUAGCACUACUUUUUUGAGGCCAGUAAUAACAUCCAGAGACCGUUCUUCCAUACUUUACUCCCUCCUUUUUCAGACUUGUUUAUAAAAUAAAUAAUUUGAAUUUAGCCUUUAUGAUUGUAUAUAAUCCACAGAAGACCUGAUUUAUGAAAUUUUGUACUAAAAAAAAUCAGAUUUGCAAAUGACUGUAUUAUAAACUAAGGCUAAGGUUUUUUUACCUGUUUCGUGUGUUAUAAAGGCCAGCUUGUAAAAGAAGUUGCAACAGACUUUCUCUGCUGAUGAUUUGCACUGUUAGGGUUUUGUUAGCCCUUUUGUACUACUUUAUUUUUAAGUUGAGAACAUUGCUCUCUAAAUCUGUUUUUUCUUGGACCAGAGACAACUUAUCUAUGAAUUCCUGGGUUGUUAUGAAAACUAUCUACCAGGAGAGAUAAGAAAAAAUUCUCCAGGUUUUGAUCUUGAAUCUUUGUCUGGGACCUGGUUUUUCCUUUGAGGUUUUUUUAAGAUUUUGUUGUGAUGGGUUUUUUUUUAUUUUUUGCUUUUGUUUAAGUUGUGCUGACACCAAACACAUCCAUUGAUAAUCAGUACAUUGGAAAGCUGGUAUUACUGAUGUAGAACCAAUGCAUAACUUUUUAUGGGGUUUUGGGGUUUUUUUUUUUUUGUAAAGUGUGAAUAAAAGGUGCGUUUACUCAUUUUUCCUAAACACUGUGUUGGUAAUGUGCAUCAUGACAAUUUCUAGCGAGGGUGAGCUGGAGCUGGUUGGACUGAGGAGAUGAAGGAAGCCGCUUUUCCUGUGAUCUGCAUUAUGUCAGAACAGGUCUGAGAGCUUUAUGGAAGGGGAGGGGAGAAGCACUUACUCAUUGUAUGUUUAUGAAUGGAGGGUGUAUUCUUUUCAUAGAUGCUGGAACUAGAGUGCGCUUGUUAGAUGCUAAAGGUUUGAGCUUUACACAAAAUGUUUUCAUCUGUAUUGAUGUUGUCUACAAUAUAUUUGAAUUUGGGGGCAACAUAAUGAGAUAUAAUGGCCUGUUAUGUCUUGAAAAUAUUUGUUCUUGCCUCUUCUAGGCAUACUGUGUUUUGUGGGUCAGUUUGAGCAGCUUCUCUACCUUAUUGAGAUAGUGAUAAAUUGAACCAAGAGUGUAGAUUUACAACUGUAACCUUCAAAAGAGAAAGAAAUAUUCUGGGCCUGUAGGGAAUAAAUGGUCACCCCAAAAUGACUAUGAUACUUUUGUUAAGCAAGAUUUUGUGUUUUAACUGUUUUCUGUGUGUCCUGAAUAAUUUCCAAUAAUCCAUACUCCCUAAAAUGCAAUAAAAUCUAGUAUGUUUUCACAGCAUAGAUUUUUUUCAAAAAUUCUGUAACAAAUAUAUUUAAUGUGGUGUUGCCAUAAUGUAAUUUCAGUGUUCUUGCUGGACAAAUCCAUCUUAUGGAUGUUUUACAGAAGAUUUGGGGUAUGUUUUCUCUUUUAAUGAUUAGAAAUUUGGAGGCACUCAAUCCUUGUUGUAAAUCUCUUGAAGUACCAUUUACCAUAUUAGUGGUAAUUAUUUAUACUUUGAGAAUUUAAAUAAUGCUCAUCAAAAUUAAUUUAUGGCAUAAUUUAAACUAAAGUUCUAGAAAUAAAAUGUUGAUUGCAACUUUAAUAGCCCUAGAAGAUAGACAAGGAACAUCUCCAAGAAACUUGUUUUUAUUUUUAUUUGAUUUGGUUACAGCCAGGAAAACUUGAGUUAGCACUUUGAAACCUAAGGACAUUAUUAAAUUGGGUGGAAUGCACUUCUAAAUAUUGAAAUUAAAAUUUCAAAGCUCUUCUAAGGUUCAGGUUUUCAAUAAUAAAUUCCAGUUUUAGUAUUGCGUUUUUUACUAUUUAAACUCAUGGGAUUCGUUUCCAUAGUGACUUUUAAGAUUUUGGAGUCAUGUCAUAUCAGGACAAAAGCCAACCCAGGCAAAACAAUUACAGCAGUUUGUUCCUUUAAUGAACCAGUCAGAAUAUCCAGUAGAAAUGCUACAGAUGAUUCCAAGAACACUUUUAGCAAGUGUUUCUCCCCUACUUGUAAACAGUAUGUUAAGAUGUUCACUUUGCUCUUCCUUUUGGUUACAUAAAUUUUAAUAACCGGUGUGAUGAAGUCGUGUCUAAAAUAGAAUAUCUAGUCUUAUUCACAGUACGUUAUAUUGUGUAAUGCACUGGACUAACUUUUGUUUACCAUUCGUGUAUCAAAACCCAGCACAUUAUCUGCACUAAGCUCAAAGAAUGUCGCAUUUGCCUGGGCAGCUCUUUGAUAAGGGUAUGGGAGACUGACUAUGUACCCAUGGACUGGUGGUAACAAGGGCUUUUACUGUUAUUUUCAGUGGAACCUUCUUGGUCAAAUUGUAACUAGCUAGUAUUAUAUUUAUAUACAGGGUCUCUUUUCUUUACCGAUGUAUUUUCCUACUCAUAGCCAACCAAUAAAUUCAAUAUCUGUUUCAAAUA